rnacentral:lncRNA from 1 species
AAUACACAAAAAUAAGAAGUUUUCCAUCUCUUAUCUUUAGAUUUCUCUAAAUAUGUUUAAUAUAAUGUUAAAUAAGCAAAUAGGUAUACAAAGAUAUUAUACUAGUAGACAAAUAACUUGGCCUUUUAUAGAACAUGAAGCCAUACUAAUUCAAAUAUUUAUUUUAAAAGACGAAGAUCAUAUCAUUUUUUAGGAGUUAAACACGAUAGAAAUCCCGUUUUGGGUGAAAGAAGAAUCUUAUCCAUCUUUCUCUUCAUUUCUUCCUCAUUUAGUCCUUCUCCUUGCACGAUAAGUAUGCUGUUUUCUAAUUCUACAGAUUUAACUCCUAAUUAACAAAAUGAGAAAUUCAUUAGGAUACAUUAAUGUUUCAAUAUUUUGGCUUAAACUUAACCAUUAAAUUAUGUUAGUGUACCUUUGUAAUCAAAGAUAUAAUCUAGAGCUUUCUUCCUGGCUUUUUCACAAUCAGAAUUAAACUGGAAUCUCACUUCUUCCUGCAAGUAAUGAAAUUACAAUUAAAACUUUGAAGAACUUUUUAUAUAUAACCAAUUCUGGUUCUGAAUGUGUAAACUAUAUGUAUAUGAUUUUUAUACUACCCUCCUCACAAAUUAACUAACCAUUUUUGAGAGCUUUGAAAGUUUGAAAUUUUAAUAGAAAUGAUAAAGAACAA